GGACACGUAGUGUGUGUCUUGAAGGAUUAUCCGUCUCUGGGCGGGGUUCCCGCUCCCGCAGUCGCCAGCGCCACCCCUGGCUUUGCUUGUCAGCUCAGUGGGCGGAAGGACACACAUUUCAGCUGUGUUCAGCCCAGCUGCUGCUGCAUUUUCCCCGGAGACUCCCAACAGCACCAUGAAGUUGGCAGGCUUCCUCCUCCUCGUGGCCGUCAUCAUCCUCAGCCUGGAGGUGCAGGAGUUCCAGGCUGCGGUGAUAGCGCGUCAGCUGCUGGGCACCUGCGUGGAGCUCUGCAGCGGAAACUGGGACUGUAACCCCGGGGAGCGCUGCGUCAGCAAUGGCUGUGGCCACAUCUGUGCUGAAGACUAGGCACAGAUGAAGACUUAUCUUAAGGGUCACCCCUUUCUAAUUCCUCACCCCUUCUUGGAGUUCCUAUCUUCAAAGAUGCGUCUGUUUGGAGCUCCUUGCCCAAGAAGACUGACGAACACAGGAGUCUGUGGAUGGAGAUUCCAAGGAAUGUGGU